rnacentral:lncRNA from 1 species
UGAACCAUACAUUUACUUUUUACUGCUUAUGAGCAUUGAGUGUGGUCAAGCUGUGUAGACCCUUAGGAGCUUGUCAUGCAGUUAAAAUCAAAAUUCACUUGCACGUUCACUCAUACAUGCUACUUCUACUCCAGAAGUACGCACCCACAUACAUCCACUCAUUUCCAUCUCCAGAUUCACCCAAAAGUAUUCUACUCCUAUCCAGGAGAGAAUAGCCAAAAACAUUAUCCUAUCCCUGUUAUUCCCCGUAGAAUAAAUGCUUGAGAUAUUUUGGUUACUACCACUUGCUACAUUAUUCCAGGAGGGUGAGUGCUCUGAAAAAAAAGUGAAUACGAGAAAAUAAAAAGGGGCAAGUGCCCGGAACCUCGAACAAUAGAAAAAGUGAGACGAGACGUAAAAAUAGACAAGUGUUUGAUAGUAGAAUUAGGGGUACAGGAUACCCACCUGAGAGAAAAGAAAAAGAAAAAGUAGAGCAUCUCAUUCGCCUCAAAAGUGUCAAAGAGCAAGAAAGGUAUGUAUCCCCUCAAAAGAGCAAAAGUAGAAUUAGACUUUCACCAUUGUUUUCACCAUCAUCACCAUACACCAUUCAUUCGCCACACAUGCACAUCUUGAUUUGACUUAUUGACUUGUUUCUCUGGAUCCAUGGUUUGACUAUACAAUAAAUGUCUUGUAAGUAUGUAUUAGCUGUCUCCCACCUAUGAGCUCUAGAUAUCAAAACCUUAUUAGAGUAGGGUGAGAGAGGAGGCAAUGUCAGUAUGCCUC